GUGCUCACUUUGGCAGCAUAUAAACUAAAAUUGGAAUGAUACAGAGAAGAUUAACAUGGCCCCUGUGCAAGGAUGACACACAAAUUAGUGAAGUGUUCCAUAUUCUU
ensembl:snRNA U6 U6 spliceosomal RNA